rnacentral:tRNA from 1 species
UAAGACUUAUAAGUUAUUAACCUAUAUCCUCUGAAUGCAACUCAGACACUUUCAUUAAGCUAAAACCUCC